UCAAGAUUUUAGGCCAUGGUAUUAGUAUGCUACAUUUUCAAUUACAGAAAUAAAUCAAUUUCAUCGUCAUCAUGUGUUGCAAUACCACUACCAGGGACAUCAAAGAUGACCUGGACUUCAGUGCAUAUGCAGAGGAGAGUAGCACUAAAGAAAGCCAAUAAAAUCCUUUUGGAGUUGAAUUGAGACACAACCAUUCAUUUCUGGUUUAGUUAUAAAACUGCUACAGACUAUAAACUAUUCAUGAUGAUGGAAUACACCAAUGCCUAGUACAAUUAUGGCCCAUUAGAAACCAGAACAAACCAUGGCUGCAAAGGAAAUAAGAUGCACAUAGUCUGAAAGAUCUGGCUGGUGUUCUGAAUAAGAUGACAUAAUAUCUCAACUGCAGAAGUACAGCUGGCAUGUAGGGGUUUCAACAGCACAUCUUGAUGUAUUGUACCAAAAGAUUUGCUUACACACCACCUGUUUAUAGGAUACACAAUCUUCUUGCAGCCAUAGAUUAUAAUAUACAUGCAAAUAGACCAUACAUCACCAACAAGGGGAUCUGUUAGACUUCAGCGAGUCUGGAUGAAUUAAAGAAGAAGAAAAAGUAUCAUUAUACUAUUUUUCAUGAUGCUAUAACUCUGACAAUUAGUGACAUGGAGGGGAUAUAUAAAAUAGAAAGUUAGAGGAAGAAGACCCACCACAGACUUUCAAAAUAUUUGGCCCAAGUUAGCCCGAAGCCUACCCGAGCCAUUCAUGAGGAACAUAAAUCAAGAUAUGAUUGACUUUUUUUGGAAAAGAAUGAUAAAUAGUGUGUUACACUGAUUGCCCAACUAUUCAAACAUAUUUAAACUGAC